GUUUAGUCCGGGGUCUGGGUACCGUCUCCACACGCACUACAACACUCUCCACGACACCUGAUCGCCGCCACUGUUACCCCUUUUGUCUGGAACACAACAAGGGCUCAGCUCCUGGUGGCUGAUUCAGGACUCAUGGCCUUAGACCAACAGAUGGAGUCCAUCUUCUAACAGAACCUGGAACCAGCAGUCUCUUUGCUUGGUGUUUUGCUCUGACUUGUACCAAGAUGAAUAUGUUGCAAAUUUACCAAUCUCAGAAAGAAAAAGGUACUUGUAGGGACAUUACCGGAACUGUGACAAGUUUCACUUGUCUAAGCAAUUGUAUCUGCCCAGCAGGAACAUGGUAAACACUGGGUUUUAGUUUUCAAAGAAAAGGAAACUCUAAAAUUUUACAGUUUUCCCAAUGAAACACUGGAGAUCAAGAAGCAUGCUUGAUUUGUCCAAGUAACUUGGUAUCAUCACUUCUUUUUAAAUUGUUAUGUAGCAUAAGUCUCCCCUGCUUGCCUCUAUGGCAUCUCUUCACUGUCCCUUCCCUUCCAUUCCCAUUCCUGGGGUGUUUUCUUGCCUCUGUUGCUACUGGCUUAUCUGUAUCCAGUCUCGCCACAUUCAAAACCAUCUUCUACAUAGCCACCCGAGGGGUUUUCCCAAACAGAAAUUGUGUUAUGUCAUUCCACUUUGUAAAAUCCUUCAACCUUUAAGUCCUAGCUCUUUAAAUGGCAAUCAAGGACCUGGUCCUUUGAGAAAGUAAAAAGCAUCACUGGCAGCUAGCCUGUGAUAUUCCCAACUGAAGCCAAGCUGUGCUCACAGGGCAAGGAUGAGACAACUUCACUUCACGACCAUAUCUGAAACAGAGACAAGGAUACUCUGCAACUACAAAAUGACUAUCCUAUCUCCCUCUCCCCGUUAAGAUGGAAGACUUCACUGUGGAUGAUAUUAGUCCCAUUUUGUUUCUUCUAUCUCCUGGAUAAAAUGAUUAAACAUCCAAUUACCAAAUCACCCCUGCUCGUAAUGGCCCUCAAUACAGAACAGGCCUACAUUUUCUUGGAUGCUGUUUAGAAUCACCCAGCAAGAUCCCAAAUCCUGUAAUGAGCCCUUCCUAACUCUCCAUUACAGAGCUAUUCCAUGGACCUUCUGCUGAUCAUUCUCUGUUGCUACAAUGAGCUAAAUAAAUUUGUCCUUUUGGCCUGAGAUUAUUGAUAGUUUUGGGUCAUUGCUUUAACCUAUCUCUGUCCUCCACAUUGUGUCCUGCAGUCAGAGCAAGACCACAUGCAGUUUCCCACACAUCUGUCUUUUAGCACCUUGGCUUCUUUUUUCUUUUUCCACAUAGAAAACUAUCCUACUUUCAGAAUCCAACUCACAUGUCAACUCAUGUAUGAAUACUUCCCAAACCCUACAUAUCAUCUUGGGCCGAGUUCCCAUUGUUUUGGAUUAACUCUAGCCAGAUCCCAUGAAGUAGAGGCUCACAUCUGUGGACACUGGAAUGAGAGAAGACCAGAUUCAAGUUGUGGCUUUGGCAAUGUAUGACCUUGAGAACUUUACUUAUGACUCAGUCAGAUGCCAUUCCCCCAACUAAUUCUAUUUAAUCAUUAGGACACAUUGACACUUAAGAAAUGACCCUGAAACCAACUGUGCACAUAUUAACAGUCCUGCGGCUUAGAACAAUACAUCUUUUCCUUAUUUGGAGCUUAAUAAGACAAUGUCCAAGACUGACAAAUAAAUCAUGCUCAUUUCUUUC